UACGUAGGGUGCGAGCGUUAAUCGGAAUUACUGGGCGUAAAGCGUGCGCAGGCGGUUCGUUAAGUUCGUUGUGAAAGCCCCGGGCUCAACCUGGGAACUGCAAUGGAAACUGGCGGGCUUGAGUGUGGCAGAGGGGGGUGGAAUUCCGCGUGUAGCAGUGAAAUGCGUAGAGAUGCGGAGGUACACCGAUGGCGAAGGCAGCCCCCUGGGCCAACACUGACGCUCAGGCACGAAAGCGUGGGGAGCAAACAGG
rnacentral:rRNA from 1 species